GGCCCCUAACUUUGAAAAACGUAUAUAGAGUUUUGGGGAGACUCUUCCACCAGAAUCUACGCUGAAGUAAUGAAUCUGUGUUCAUCCACAAUGAACGUAGGAUGAAAGUCAGGUGCAGUUUCUGGGUCCUGGCUCUGCUUCCUGCUGGUCUUCCCUCUGGUGCCCAGCACCUCUGGGCUCCUCCCCGACAAGUCUUCCUCCAGCCUGGCUUGUGGGCGCUCAUCCACUCGUUCUGUGCAGGUGAGGGAAUGUGGACGAGCCACCUUCAGGACAGCAGCAUCAUACAAGGCCUCCAGGUGCCGGUGGUCUGCAGACGUCCAUACGUCAGGCUGGACGAGGCAGACGUAUGGCUUUAAGUGGAGAGGAGAAUGAAUCCAGUGUUCCUGUAACAUGAGCAGAGAGAGCGACUUAUAGAGAGCCGUGCUGCGGCCGCCCCGUGGGGGCCUGGCGAGGACUCGGCGGCUCCCUCCCACAGCACUGAGAAGAGGGCUUUGGUUCUCCUGCAGCAAACACACUCCAGCUCGCCGUGCCCGCCCGUCAGGCCACCUUCUUUCCGCUGAACCUGUGUCGUGAUCCCUGGAGGUGUUUGCCUUAGACGUGCCUCUUCCUUUGGAGUUUGUCACCUGCUAAUUGGCACCCAGGAGCGCACCCUGUCCCUCCUACUUCUUAUCAGCACAUCACCCACGAGGUCUGCCACUCACUGGGUCAGGGAAUAAUCUCUCCGGAGCUAAACACUCUUCACGUAUUAAGAGCUGAUCUAACAAUCAGCUACGUCCCGGAUGUGGGAAAUUCUGUAAGAGCCCACUUUCUUCAACAAGUAAAUGAGAUUACAAACGAGAGGGGAUCUGCUAGGGGUGGAAAUGCUCUUUGGGGGUCUACCCAGCAAGUGCAACGUGUGGGCACUGUUUGCUUAGAUCUUAAUUUAAAGUGUGAAAAGGCGUUUUUGAGAUAAUUGCAGGAAGUUAAGCAUGGACUGGGUACUAUUAGAUGAUCUUAGGUAAUUAGAUUAUUGCUUUCAGUUUUGUUGGAGAUGAUACUAGUAUUGUCCUUAACUGUUAGAGAUGCAUAUUGAAGUAUGUUUACAAUUUGCUUUAAAAUUUUCUU